ACUAUUUUGGCAGAGAAGUGUAAUGGUUUUAGAAAUCAUUUAUAUAUAUAAAAUUAUUAUAUAUAUUUAGUA
rnacentral:tRNA from 1 species